UGUGUGUGUGCGCGCGCGUGCGUGUGUUUUAGAGACAGAGACAGAGAGACCCAGAGGGCGAGGGAGAGCUGGAAAGAGCUAGAACCGGGAAGAGGGAGAGGGACAUCCCAGUAACAACGACUGUUUAUUGAGCGCUUACUGUGUGCCCGGCAUCCGCACAUCAUCCCCGUAAGAAAGACCUGAUGGUCCCUAUUUUACAGGUGGUGAAACUGAGGGUCAGGGAGGGGAGGACCCGCCCAGGUUCCGCGGUGAAUCGGGAGGGUUCAAGUUCAUUUGACGUUCGCAAAGUUGAAUGGAGACCUAGAGUCUGACUGAAGUGUGAGAGUGGUCUUCAUCACAGGUGGAGAAUCUAAGGCGUAAUAUGACUUCCCCUUGAUUACAU